GUUAGAGUCAGUUAACAGUUAUAAGAGUGAGGGACUUCGAAAAGGUGGUUGGUCUUCAGCAGGGCUCCUGGACUCUAGGAAACUUUUCAUUUUUAAAGCCAACUAUCAGAAGGAUAAACUGUCAGUUAGAGUCAGUUAACAGUUAUAAGAGUGAGGGACUUCGAAAAGGUGGUUGGUCUUCAGCAAGGCUCCUUGACUCUAGGAAACUUUUCAUUUUUAAAGCCAACUAUCAGAAGGCUAAACUGUCAGUUAAUGUCGGUUAUCAGUUAUAAGAGUGAAGACCUUCAAGAAACUUACCUUCUUUUUAUAGCCAACUAUCAGAGAGUAAGGUUAGAAUUAGAGUUAGAUAAAG